rnacentral:rRNA from 1 species
UGGAUCCAGACUUUGAUCUGGCUCAGGAUGAACGCUAGCUACAGGCUUAACACAUGCAAGUCGAGGGGAAACGACAUCGAAAGCUUGCUUUUGAUGGGCGUCGACCGGCGCACGGGUGAGUAACGCGUAUCCAACCUGCCCAUCACUUGGGGAUAACCUUGCGAAAGUAAGACUAAUACCCAAUGACGUCUCUAGAAGACAUCUGAAAGAGAUUAAAGAUUUAUCGGUGAUGGAUGGGGAUGCGUCUGAUUAGCUUGUUGGCGGGGUAACGGCCCACCAAGGCUACGAUCAGUAGGGGUUCUGAGAGGAAGGUCCCCCACAUUGGAACUGAGACACGGUCCAAACUCCUACGGGAGGCAGCAGUGAGGAAUAUUGGUCAAUGGACGAGAGUCUGAACCAGCCAAGUAGCGUGCAGGAUGACGGCCCUAUGGGUUGUAAACUGCUUUUAUAAGGGAAUAAAGUGAGUCUCGUGAGACUUUUUGCAUGUACCUUAUGAAUAAGGACCGGCUAAUUCCGUGCCAGCAGCCGCGGUAAUACGGAAGGUCCGGGCGUUAUCCGGAUUUAUUGGGUUUAAAGGGAGCGUAGGCCGGAGAUUAAGCGUGUUGUGAAAUGUAGAUGCUCAACAUCUGCACUGCAGCGCGAACUGGUUUCCUUGAGUACGCACAAAGUGGGCGGAAUUCGUGGUGUAGCGG